rnacentral:piRNA from 1 species
UGGGCUUUAAGACCCUCAUCCUAGCUGCCU